GACGGGGGAUGCAAGUGUUAUCCGGAAUAAUUGGGCGUAAAGCGUCUGUAGGUGGUUUACCAAGUCUGUUGUUAAAAAUCAGGGCUUAACCCUGAUCCGGCAACAGAAACUAGUAGGCUGGAGUACGGUAGGGGCAGAGGGAAUUCUCGGUGUAGUGGUGAAAUACGUAGAUAUCGAGAAGAACACCAAUAGCGAAAGCACUCUGCUGGGCCGACACUACACUGAGAGACGAAAGCUAGGGGAGCGAAUGGG
rnacentral:rRNA from 1 species